rnacentral:rRNA from 1 species
GGAAUCUUGCGCAAUGGGCGAAAGCCUGACGCAGCAACGCCGCGUGCGGGAUGAAGGCCUUCGGGCUGUAAACCGCUUUCAGCAGGAACGAAAAUGACGGUACCUGCAGAAGAAGGAGCGGCCAACUACGUGCCAGCAGCCGCGGUGACACGUAGGCUCCAAGCGUUGUCCGGAUUUAUUGGGCGUAAAGAGCUCGUAGGCGGUUUAGUAAGUCGGGUGUUAAAACUCUGGGCUCAACCCGGAGAGGCCAUCCGAUACUGCUGUGACUUGAGUUCAGGAGGGGAGCGGGGAAUUCCUAGUGUAGCGGUGAAAUGCGCAGAUAUUAGGAGGAACACCGGUGGCGAAGGCGCCGCUCUGGACUGAAACUGACGCUGAGGAGCGAACGCAUGGGUAGCAAACAGGAUUAGAUACCCUGGUAGUCCAUGCCGUAAACGGUGGGCACUAGGUGUGGGUUCCAACUAACGGGAUCCGCGCCGUCGCUAACGCAUUAAGUGCCCCGCCUGGGGAGUACGGUCGCAAGACUAAAACUCAAAGGAAUUGACGG